AUUGAUACUAAGCCAUGCGAGUCAUUGUAGUAAUACAAGGCAUACGGCUCAGUAACGCGUAGUCAACCUAACCUAUGGACGGGAAUAACCUCGGGAAACUGAGUAUAAUGCCCGAUAGAACAUUAUGCCUGGAAUGGUUUAUGUUCCAAAUGAUUUAUCGCCGUAGGAUGGGACUGCGGCCUAUCAGUUUGUUGGUGAGGUAAUGGCCCACCAAGACUAUUACAGGUACGGGCUCUGAGAGGAGUAGCCCGGAGAUGGGUACUGAGACACGGACCCAGGCCCUAUGGGGCGCAGCAGGCGAGAAAACUUUGCAAUGUGCGAAAGCACGACAAGGUUAAUCCGAGUGGUUUCUGCUAAAGGAACCUUUUGUUAGUCCUAGAAACACUAACGAAUAAGGGGUGGGCAAGUUCUGGUGUCAGCCGCCGCGGUAAAACCAGCACCUCAAGUGGUCAGGAUGAUUAUUGGGCCUAAAGCAUCCGUAGCCGGCUCUGUAAGUUUUCGGUUAAAUCUGUACGCUCAACGUACAGGCUGCCGGGAAUACUGCAGAGCUAGGGAGUGGGAGAGGUAGACGGUACUCGGGAGGAAGGGGUAAAAUCCUUUGAUCUCUCGAUGACCACCUGUGGCGAAGGCGGUCUACCAGAACACGUCCGACGGUGAGGGAUGAAAGCUGGGGGAGCAAACCGGAUUAGAUACCCGGGUAGUCCCAGCUGUAAACUAUGCAAACUCAGUGAUGCAUUGACUUGUGGUCAAUGCAGUGCUGCAG
rnacentral:rRNA from 1 species